rnacentral:rRNA from 1 species
AUGGAUCCAAGCCCGCGCCGCCGCCCCGGAGUCUGCUCCGCGCGCAGCCGCCACCGCCUGCCGAGGCUCGCCGCCGCGUGCCCCGCGCCCCGCCACCGCUCGCCGAGGCCUGCCGCCGCAGGACACCGCCGCCAGCCGCCUAGAUCCGCCGCCCGCAGAAGAAGGGGAGUCGGGAGAGGGAAUCCCCCCGCCGCCGCCGUCUGCCACGCGGGUUUCACCCGACAGCGUAACCCGGCAGCGGUGCAAGGAGGGGAGAAGGAGGGGGCGGCGGCUGUGCCUAGGGUUGGAGGCCCCGAGUCGUCCAGGGCGGGGGCGACGCGAGGGACGUGA